AGCGCAGGCGGACAGGUCAGUUUAAAGUGGAAUCCCAGGGCUCAACCCUGGACGUGCUUUGGAUACUGCCUGUCUUGAGUUCGUGAGAGGAAAGUGGAAUUCAGGGUGUAGCGGUGAAAUGCUUAGAUAUCCUGAGGAACACCAGUGGCGAAAGCGACUUUCUGGCACGAAACUGACGCUGAGGCUCGAAAGCAUGGGUAGCGAACGGGAUUAGAUACCCCGGUAGUCCAUGCCGUAAACGUUGUGUACUAGGUGCAGGAGGUAUCGACCCCUUCUGUGCCGAAGCUAACGCAUUAAGUACACCGCCUGGGGAGUACGCGCGCAAGCGUGAA
rnacentral:rRNA from 1 species